UAAAACACUCAGGGAAAAUAUCCUGACGAAAGGACUUUGUGUAUAUAUAUUUUAUUCAAAUAGAUGAAAAUUAAUUUUAUAGAUAAAAAUGCUUAAAUACACAUAGUUUUGCAAGACCUUUCACUUGGAGUAACAAAAUAACCCAUGUGUGAAAGGCCAGUGUUAGAUGUUUACCUUUUAGCUAAUUGUCUUGAGAGCAGAUGGAUUUCUACUAAAUCUCCUAGUUUUAAGACAGACAUCAGGGGUUUCCCAGACUCUUGUCGUCAACUGCUCCAGCCCUCUGGUGGCCUCUGCCACCACCCUAGGCUCCAGGGAGCUGACUCUGCCAUUUCACUUCAAUCUCUGUCAUUUGGCUAAAAGGAAUCCUUUCCUUCGCUAGGUCUCCCUUCCCUGGGUCUUCCUUCCCUAGGUCUUUCUUUCUCUAGAUCUUUCCUUCUCUGUGUCUCCCUUCUCCUGGUCUCCCUUCUCUAGGUCUCCCUUCUCUUGUUCUCCCUUCUCUAGGUCUUUCCUUCUCUGGGUCUCCCUUUUCCUGGUCUCCCUUGUCUAGGUCCCCUUCUGUAGCUCUCCCUUCUCUAGGUCUCCCUUCUCUACAUCUUUCCUUCUUUAGGUCUGCCUUCUCUAGUUCUCCAUUCUCUAGGUCUUUCCUUCUCUAGGUCUCCCUUUCCUGGGUCUCCCUUCUCCUGGUCUCCCUUCUCUAGGUCUCCCCUUCUCUAGCUCUCCCUUCUCUAGUUCUCCCUUCUCUAGGGCUUUCCUUCUCUAGGUCUUCCUUCCCUAGGUCUCCCUUCUCUAGGUCUUUCUUUCUCUAGAUCUUUCUUUCUCUGGGUCUCCUUUCUCCUGGUCUCCCUUCUCUAGGUCUCCCCUUCUCUAGCGCUCCCUUCACUAGGUUUCCCUUCUCUAGGUCUCCCUUUUUUAGGUCUUUCCUUCUUUAGGUCUCCCCUUCUCUAGUUCUCCCUUCUCUAGGUCUUUCCUUCUCUAGGUCUCCCUUCCCUAGGUCUCCCUUCUCUAGGUCUUUCUUUCUCUAGAUCUUUCCUUCUCUGGGCCUCCUUUCUCCUGGUCUCCCUUCUUUAAGUCUCCCCUUCUCUAGGUCUCCCCUUCUCUAGGUCUCCCUUCUCUGGGUCUACCUUCUCUAGUUCUCCCUUCUCUAGGUCUUUCCUUCUCUAGGUCUCCCUUCUCUAGUUUUCCCUUCUCUAGGUCUUUCCUUCUCUGGGUCUCCCUUCUCCUGGUCUCCCUUCUCUAGGUCUCCCCUUCUCUAGGUCUUCCCUUCUCUAGGUCUCCCUUUUCUAGGUCUUUCCUUCUUUAGGUCUCCCUUCUCUAGUUCUCCCUUCUCUAGGUCUUUCCUUCUCUAGGUCUCCCUUCUCUAGUUUUCCCUUCUCUAGGUCUUUCCUUCUCUAGGUCUUUCCUUCUCUAGUUCUUCCUUCUCUGUGUCUCCCUUCUCUAGGUCUUUCCUUCUCUGGGUCUCCCUUCUCCUGGUCUCCCUUCUCUAGGUCUCCCCUUCUCUAGCUCUCCCUUCUCUAGAUCUUUCCUUCUCUAGCUCUCCCUUCUCUAGUUCUCCCUCCUCCAGGUCUUUCAUUCUCUAGGUCUCCCUUCUCUAGGUCUGACUCUUGCCUCCCCCUUCCAGCUCCAACCCAGGGCAGAUUUGACCAUUGUAUUAAUCAUGUCUUUUUAGUCUGUAUUUUUUUUCAUUUUUAUUUUUUAUUAAAAAAUUUAAUGUUUAUUUCUUUUUGAGAGAGAGAGAGAGAGAGAAAGAGAGACAGCACAAGCAGGGGAGAGCCAAGAGAGAGGGAGACACAGAAUCUGAAGCAGACUCCAGGCUCUGAGCUGUCAGCACAGAGCCCCACAUGGGGCUCGAACUCAGAAGCCAUGAGAUCAUGACCUGAGCUGAAGUUGGAUGCUUAACCAACUGAGCCACCCAGAUGCCCCUUUUUAAAUUUUUUA